GAUUGCUGUAAAACAGCAGACAAACAAAACGCACUUACCUCGAAGGUCUCGCCAUUCUGCAGACAGACUGAAAGCCUUUUGCUUUUGCAAACUACAAUUUUAUUGGUAAAACUGGACUUUUGCAGCUGAAAUCCAGGUGUCUCCCGCUGCUGGGAAGCUGUUUCUGUAGCACAGAGCUGUGCGAAACUACCUAUGCAAUGCAAACUGCACUAAACACGCGCAAAUGAGUGCGAUCUAGAGCAUCUGCUCGCACGCAGCCUUGGUCUGUGUGGGUCGAAAAUGGAUAAAUGUUCAAGUAUCCACAGGCCGAAUUGCCCUGGUCAAGCCUCCUGUAGAAUAGUAGCUAACUAAUUAGCUACUGCCUGGCCUGCAAGCCAGGAUUCUUUUAUGAGUAAAAGUGGGAUGGGAGUCUGAAAAACGCAAGAUGCCCGCAAACCAGGAUUGGAUGACCACACUCAGCAACAGCCGUUUACCUACUCAUUCACACAGAAAGCUCAACUCUCAGAAACAGAACCACAGAAAAUAUCAAAGACAGUGAAGGACACAUCUCUGCUGUCAUAAAAACGGC
rnacentral:lncRNA from 1 species